rnacentral:lncRNA from 1 species
GCACCGACUUUCACGGUAUACCAUCCCUAUCAUACACACAUUCUCUCGAUUAAAUAAAACAAUAAAGUGAAACAAAUAAAUUUCAGCAGAACAAGACUAUCAACCAGGGUUCAUUUCUGAGUCAUCUCUAAUGCACCACUAACACACAAAUCAGAUUUCCUUUUCUUACUGUGCACAGACAGAUCGAUUGAAAAUUUAAAUGCUAGGAUUUCCAUCAUAUAAGUCAUACAUAAUGUUCGUUUUCAUACCAAAACAAGUCUUCAUUAAUCUUUACUAACAAGUAAAUUUAAGUAUCGCAGUACUUCAUUUCAAAACAUUAACUUCUACCUCUGUGACUUGUCAAAAUAUUUCACAUGUUAAGGUAUACUAAAAAACUAACCAUUAGCAACUCAACUACUUAAAAAAUACAACAAUAAAUCCAAUAAGAUAACUGGCCUAUCUAAUCUAAUCAACAUAUGUACAUGUGGAC